UUAUCGGAGAGUUUGAUCCUGGCUCAGGACGAACGCUGGCGGCGUGCCUAAUACAUGCAAGUCGAGCGGACA
rnacentral:rRNA from 2 species